rnacentral:rRNA from 1 species
UGCAGAAUCCCGUGAACCAUCGAGUCUUUGAACGCAAGUUGCGCCCCAAGCCUUUUGGCCGAGGGCACGUCUGCCUGGGUGUCACAAAUCGUCGUCCCCCUCUUCAUCCAUUGCGGAGAUGGGACGGAAACUGGUCUCCCGUGUGUUACCGCACGCGGUUGGCCAAAAUUCGAGCCAAGGAUGCUGGGAGCGUCCCGACAUGCGGUGGUGAAAUCAAAACCUUCAUACCGUCGAUCGCUCCUGUCCGAAAGCUCUAGAUGACCCAAAGUCUUCAAAGCGACCCCAGGUCAGGCGGGAUCACCCGCUGAGUUUAAGCAUAUCAAUAAGCGGAGGAAAAGAAACUAACAAGGAUUCCCUUAGUAACGGCGAGCGAACCGGGAAGAGCCCAGCUUGAAAAUCGGACGUCUUUGAUGUUCGA